rnacentral:rRNA from 1 species
AUUGAACGCUGGCGGAAUGCUUUACACAUGCAAGUCGAACGGUAGAGGGGGCAACCCCUUGAGAGUGGCGAACGGGUGAGUAAUAUAUCGGAACGUGCCCAGUCGUGGGGAUAACGUAGCGAAAGUUACGCUAAUACCGCAUACGAUCUAAGGAUGAAAGCGGGGGAUCGCAAGACCUCGCGCGAUUGGAGCGGCCGAUAUCAGAUUAGGUAGUUGGUGAGGUAAAGGCUCACCAAGCCAACGAUCUGUAGCUGGUCUGAGAGGACGACCAGCCACACUGGAACUGAGACACGGUCCAGACUCCUACGGGAGGCAGCAGUGGGGAAUUUUGGACAAUGGACGCAAGUCUGAUCCAGCCAUUCCGCGUGCAGGAUGAAGGCCCUCGGGUUGUAAACUGCUUUUGUACGGAACGAAAAGGUUCUAUUAAUACUAGGAGCUCAUGACGGUACCGUAAGAAUAAGACACCGG